GUGGGGAAUCUUAGACAAUGGGGGAAACCCUGAUCUAGCCAUGCCGCGUGAGCGAUGAAGGCCUUAGGGUUGUAAAGCUCUUUCAGCUGGGAAGAUAAUGACGGUACCAGCAGAAGAAGCCCCGGCUAACUCCGUGCCAGCAGCCGCGGUAAUACGGAGGGGGCUAGCGUUGUUCGGAAUUACUGGGCGUAAAGCGCACGUAGGCGGAACAGAAAGUCAGAGGUGAAAUCCCAGGGCUCAACCUUGGAACUGCCUUUGAAACUCCUGUUCUUGAGUUCGAGAGAGGUGAGUGGAAUUCCGAGUGUAGAGGUGAAAUUCGUAGAUAUUCGGAGGAACACCAGUGGCGAAGGCGGCUCACUGGCUCGAUACUGACGCUGAGGUGCGAAAGCGUGGGGAGCAAACAGGAUUAGAAACCCGAGUAGUCC
rnacentral:rRNA from 1 species